rnacentral:lncRNA from 1 species
GAGGAUUCCUUGGACUGGAAGAUGCUUGCCCCGUAGGGCGUGCGCCAGGCGUUGAGCAGGUUGUCCUUCCCCGUGCUCACGAACCAUUUACCGCAGUAGGCGAACUUGAGGGACAGGACGCAGCUCUCGUGGAGGUGCAGCUGGUACUUGUCCGGCUUGGUGUGGUGCAGCACUUCCACGUUGCUGCUCUCCAUGCCCACCGCCAGCCACUCUCCCGUGGGGCAGUACCCCAGCGAGAAGAUCUGGGAGGUGAAGUCGUGCUGCUGCAGCUGCCGCCCCUCCCGCAGGUCCCAGCAGCGCACCGUGUUGUCC